GCACUGCUGACGAGUCGGAAACAGGACGAAUCAGCUGUCCAGUGC
rfam:Echinostoma caproni strain Egypt genome assembly, scaffold: ECPE_scaffold0020009